AACGAACGCUGGCGGCAGGCCUAACACAUGCAAGUCGAGUGGAUCCUUCGGGAUUAGCGGCGGACGGGUGAGUAACGCGUGGGAAUAUGCCCUUCUCUACGGAAUAGCCUCGGGAAACUGGGAGUAAUACCGUAUACGCCCUACGGGGGAAAGAUUUAUCGGAGAAGGAUUAGCCCGCGUUGGAUUAGGUAGUUGGUGGGGUAAUGGCCUACCAAGCCUACGAUCCAUAGCUGGUUUGAGAGAAUGAUCAGCCACACUGGGACUGAGACACGGCCCAGACUCCUACGGGAGGCAGCAGUGGGGAAUCUUAGACAAUGGGGGAAACCCUGAUCUAGCCAUGCCGCGUGAGUGAUGAAGGCCUUAGGGUUGUGAAGCUCUUUCAGCUGGGAAGAUAAUGACGGUACCAGCAGAAGAAGCCCCGGCUAACUCCGUGCCAGCAGCCGCCGCUGUAA
rnacentral:rRNA from 1 species